UACGUAGGGGGCAAGCGUUGUCCGGAAUUAUUGGGCGUAAAGAGCGUGUAGGCGGUCCGGUAAGUCAGCUGUGAAAGUCAAGGGCUCAACCCUUGAAAGCCGGUUGAUACUGUCGGGCUAGAGUCCGGAAGAGGCAAGUGGAAUUCCUGGUGUAGCGGUGAAAUGCGCAGAUAUCUGGAGGAAUACCGGUGGCGAAGGCGGCAUCCUGGACCGGCAUUGACGCUGAGGAGCGAAAGCCAGGGGAGCAAACGGG
rnacentral:rRNA from 1 species